rnacentral:lncRNA from 1 species
AAAAAGUUAUGGGUCUUUCUCAGUUUUGUAGUGCAGAGCUCAACAACUGAAACAAAAAAUACAUGCUGGGUCGAGACAAGCUGAAACAUGGCUUAAAGCACAUCAAAUGAAACAUGGGUGUGGUGUGGUGGGGGGAUGGAGUUCGUUGUCACUGCUCGCUGAAGGUUGAUAAUAUAACUGGAAUUUCAAUCGUCGGAAGCACAUAAGCUAAUUUCAACCCUUUGUCAAAAGCCAAAAUGAAGGCAACCACAUCACAUCCCAUAAGAUAGAAGAUUAGAGAACUUACCAUCAAGAUGGAAACCUGGACGGGUUCCCUUCGUCGGAUGUUGGUAGACGACGUCAAAAUCAGGGCAAGUCACAUUACCAAACGGACAAUGGUGGCUUGGCCAGUUCACAAACCCAUGGCGUCUACUCCUCAUCGACUCUCAUUCCUUCGUCGGCAUCAUGGGUCGGGCAUCAACGACAGUCUCCCAUUGCUGCUCAGCACGGACUCCAAUGUGACAACACCAAAGUUGCAAGUUGUCUUGAUUGGACUACAACACAAAAAACAUCAUUCAAAUGGCAGAUUAUAAAUAUGCAAGAGAAAAUUAUAUUGCGCUAUCGAAUAUAUCAGACAAUCUCUGUCUUCUCCAUGCUGCACGCAACAAAGAAUGCUAGAUUUUGGUCGAUGCCUUGAGUUAACUAAUGCAUGGUAAAUAGUAGAUCGUGAUCCAAAAUUUGUACAUGCCUUGAGUUUGUUUAUGCAAAUGAAAUAGUAUUGAUCAUCUAUGAAUUUUACAGUAUACUUCUUUAUGACUACAGGGAGAUGGAAGUGCAGUUUGUUUAUGUACGGACGAAUUUAGGUAAGCUUACAACUGAUCGAGUUCAAUCAAGUUGCCAUUUCUAGCUAAAGCGUAGAGGUUAUAGAACAUACACCUAUUGCAUGUUAUUCCAGAAAGUGCUUAACGAUGCAAUACUAAAAUUUAAUCUAAUGAGUACGUUGAUCUCGAACAUGAAAAGGACGAGAAUAGGAGGCCAGAACAUGCAUAUAUCUCUACAACAAACUUUCCUUGCUUAGAUAUAUCUAUGAAACAACUUCACACCAAUAAAUCAAAAGAGAAAUUUCUUCAAAUAGGUUGUGGCCAACGUGAGUGAAUAUAGUCCUAACUUAACAAAUAAUAACAGGGCACCGACUACAGCUAUGCUAACUAUUAGCACCACAAUACCAAAGAAAAAGGGAAGAAACUGCCAACAUUUAUAGCUAGCUAUAGGAGAGACCACCAUGCUAGAAUGCAAAUGAAGCCCAAAAUGGUUCACUUAGUGUUGUCACAUGUGAAGAACACAUUACAACAUCUAAGAGGGGCAAAGGACAACCUGACAUGGUAAGAUCAGCAAGUACUUCCGCAGAUGCACCCAGCCACAAAUUUGAGUAUCGCCUUCUCCCAUGGUGAUCGAGAGUAAUGAACAAUAAAGUGAUUAAGCAAACAAAAUUACAUGUAUGUUGUUCUUUAAGUUUCUAUAAACAGAUGCAUGAUUUGUUGAACUUGACAGAUUCUUGAAAUCACCAUCUUUGAACACAUGAGCUGUGGGAAAAUUUGUAUUGGUGAGAGCAAGCUAAACCGAACCUAGUUCAACAAACAAUUGAGCCAUCCAAUGCAUGUUUCUUGUUCAUUUUUACUCAGAAUAUUGUUGGCAUUGCAGACAUUCCAUUGAACGCAUAUAAUAGCUUUGUGUUACUCAGCAGGCUUGGCAAAAAUUCUCUAAUGGUAGAAGAGAAAGGAGAGAAGAUGACCUCCUGCUUUAUCUGUCGCAUCUGCCAUAGCCAAGGUGAGGGUUCUUGCAGCCGUAGGAAGAAUAGAAGAUAAUGCCGAAUAGGGUGAAGUGCCCCUUAGCAGCACUAAUGACGCGGACGUGGGCACCGCAGCGGCCGUCGACUGGGAAUAAAACGACACAACAACAAUAAUAACGAGGCAUACGAUGAGUAUAAUUUGCUGCAUCUCGCACCUCAUUGGAAUUUUGAGUUCCCAGCUCACUGAAUUUGUGGGUUCACAUCUCAUGUAAGCACAUUGAAUGAAACUACUUGUUAGUAGGAAGAAUAGAGAAAAGUACUUGUUCACAUCUCUCAUAUUAACGGACGGGUGCCUCUCACCUUGGGAUUCAGGUUCUUUCCUGGCUAGAGGUUAGUCCUGAUCCAAAGCUGAAAUUGGAAAACAAACAAUGUCAGGUCAAAUACACAAUAGCAACAGAAGAAGUUUAUUUUUUCUGUCCGAUGAUAAUAGCUUUCAGUUUCACAAAUGUAGAAACUAAGACAUACAAAAAUCCAGCUUUCAAAAAUUUAUGUAAUCUAAAA